GAUGAACGCUGGCGGCGUGCCUAAUACAUGCAAGUCGAGCGAACAGACGAGGAGCUUGCUCCUCUGACGUUAGCGGCGGACGGGUGAGUAACACGUGGAUAACCUACCUAUAAGACUGGGAUAACUUCGGGAAACCGGAGCUAAUACCGGAUAAUAUAUUGAACCGCAUGGUUCAAUAGUGAAAGACGGUUUUGCUGUCACUUAUAGAUGGAUCCGCGCCGCAUUAGCUAGUUGGUAAGGUAACGGCUUACCAAGGCAACGAUGCGUAGCCGACCUGAGAGGGUGAUCGGCCACACUGGAACUGAGACACGGUCCAGACUCCUACGGGAGGCAGCAGUAGGGAAUAUUGCGCAAUGGGCGAAAGCAUGACGGAGCAACGCCGCGUGAGUGAUGAAGGUCUUCGGAUCGUAAAACUCUGUUAUUAGGGAAGAACAAAUGUGUAAGUAACUAUGCACGUCUUGACGGUACCUAAUCAGAAAGCCACGGCUAACUACGUG
rnacentral:rRNA from 1 species